rnacentral:lncRNA from 1 species
CACGGUGGAGUUGGUGAGCAACCCGACGGUGGUCCCGACAUUUAAACAGGUGUUUUCUAUCCUUAAACUCCGGGCGAAUCACAUUGAGGGCAAUGUGAAUUUUAAGUUUGGGGGUGUUAACUACUUGUUUUCGUUUAUGUGCGCUUUAUUUGUUUUCGUUUGCAUGCUUUAGUUUGCAUGCUUUAGUUUUGUUUUCGUUGCAUCGAUGAAUUAUGAUGAUGAGAGAUGGUCAAUGUUUGAUGAUGAGACUACUUGUUUUAUGCUUUUAAGGAGUAGAUAUUUGUUUAGCUUUCGAUUCAACGGAACGUAGAAGUGAAUUAUUGCUAGGAAUCACACCUUGUGCAUUGCUUUGGUUGAAUGUUUUGCAUUUUAAAUUUGGAAUGUAUUUGUGCUCAAUCAUGCUUUGUUCGGUUUUAAAUCUCACCUUAGGACAUUUAUGAUACGAAGUGUUGAUAAUAAGUGAUUUGGGAUAUGAUUUGGGCCUUUUUUGAACCGUUUGAGCCUUUCAAGCCUAC